rnacentral:rRNA from 1 species
AACGAACGCUGGCGGCAGGCUUAACACAUGCAAGUCGAGCGCCCCGCAAGGGGAGCGGCAGACGGGUGAGUAACGCGUGGGAAUCUACCCAUCACUACGGAACAACUCCGGGAAACUGGAGCUAAUACCGUAUACGUCCUUCGGGAGAAAGAUUUAUCGGUGAUGGAUGAGCCCGCGUUGGAUUAGCUAGUUGGUGGGGUAAUGGCCCACCAAGGCGACGAUCCAUAGCUGGGCUGAGAGGAUGAUCAGCCACACUGGGACUGAGACACGGCCCAGACUCCUACGGGAGGCAGCAGUGGGGAAUAUUGGACAAUGGGCGCAAGCCUGAUCCAGCCAGGCCGCGUGAGUGAUGAAGGCCCUAGGGUUGUAAAGCUCUUUCACCGGUGAAGAUAAUGACGGUAACCGGAGAAGAAGCCCCGGCUAACUUCGUGCCAGCAGCCGCCGUAA